rnacentral:tRNA from 1 species
GCCUGCGUAGCUCAGCUGGUUAGAGCAUGGUGCUGAAAAUGCCAAGGUUGCAGGUUCGAUCUUCCUCUGGGACA